AUGGAGACAUUUCCGCCGCCUCCGCUUCCUCCGCUGCCCGCGAAUGUCUCCGCCGCCCCGCCGCCUCUACAUCAGCAGGCUGGGUCUGCUCCUGCGCCGGCAACGCUCCUGGUGCGGCACCUCCCAGAGGCGAUCACACAGGACAUGCUCUCCGGGCUCUUCUCCCGCUACGGCGCCACAUCCUUUCGCCCCUGCGGUGGAAAGUUGAGGAACUGUGCUUUUGUGGAUUUUAGGGACGAGAUGGCGGCCAAUCAGGCGCAGUCUCAGUUGAACAGGUUGAGGCUCCUUGGGAAAGUACUGAUACUCGAGAGAGCAAACCAGCCAAAUGCCAAGAAUGCGAUCCAGAAGCAUCAGGAGCAAUUAGCUCACGGGAUGCCUCAAGUGCCAAGUAUGAAUUCCCAAAAUCAAGAGUCUACAUCAACUGCCGAACCGAUCGCUUCUAGGCUUGGUGUGGACUAUCCAUUUCCUCCUCAUCUUGAGUAUGCACCAGAUGGAAACAUAUUGAACAAUAUUGUCAACUCCCUCAUUGCUGUUCCCCGAUUUUACAAUCAGGUGUUGCAUUUGAUGAACAAGAUGAACCUUCCAGCUCCAUUUCGGAUGGCAUUGCCUACUCCACCUCUACCAUCACAAAGGCCUCUUCCUCCUCCCCCUCCACCACUGCAGCCUUCUAUGACAGAGAAACUUCACUUGGCUGAUUUGUCUAGUGAUGAGUCUGAGAUGGAGUCUUCUGAUGAAGAUGUUGAUACAAGGGAAGUCAAGCGCGCAAAGCAUGAAGCUAUUGUUGGUCCUGCAGUUGAUAGAAGUGUCGCUCAUGAAUCGGUCGGGGUGAAACCAGUUGCAUUAGUUCCCAAUGAGCUUCAAGUAAUAAAAAAGAAAAACCCAGUACUGCAGAUAAAAAUUGUCCCUAAGGCUGCUUAUAAGGAACUUGCUGAUCGGAGUAUUAUCGACAAGGAAUUGGCCUCUAGAGAUGAACAACUUGAAGAAAAACAUUUUGCCACACCUCAGGAAAUAGAGAAAGAGAAAUUACCGACAGAGGAGAUUUUGUCCCUUCCCAUGUUCAAGAAUUACACUCCAGGGAAUCCUGCCAGUGUAUUAUAUAUUAAGAACUUGGCAAAGGAUGUUGUUCAUGAUGACUUCUACUAUGUCUUUGGAUCUGUGUUUGAAAGCUUGGACGCUGCAAGAUCUGGCUUAAGUAUAAAGUUAAUGCAGGAAGGUCGAAUGCGGGGCCAAGCUUUUGUGACGUUUCCAUCUGUUGAACAUGCUCAACGUGCACUGAAUUUAGCGCAUGGUUACGCGUUCAAAGGCAAGCCGAUGAUCAUUCAGUUUGGUAGGAACCCUGGUGCUAGCAAAGCUUCCUAG
rnacentral:rRNA from 1 species